AGUAAAAAACCUAAUUAAUAGGAUUAUUUUGAUAGAAUAAACAAAGCUAAAAGCUUUUACUU
rnacentral:tRNA from 2 species